GACGGAGGAUGCAAGUGUUAUCCGGAAUCACUGGGCGUAAAGCGUCUGUAGGUGGUCAAAUAAGUCAACUGUUAAAUCUUGAGGCUCAACCUCAAAAUCGCAGUCGAAACUAUUCGACUAGAGUAUAGUAGGGGUAAAGGGAAUUUCCAGUGGAGCGGUGAAAUGCGUAGAGAUUGGAAAGAACACCGAUGGCGAAGGCGGCCAUCUGGACCGCAACUGACGCUGAGGCGCGAAAGCGUGGGGAGCAAACAGG
rnacentral:rRNA from 1 species